GCACACACAUAGCUCAGUUGGUUAGAGCAUGGUGCUGAUCAUAACGCCAAGGUUGCAGGUUCGAUCCCCGUAUGGGACA